UUAGCCCAUAAAAUCUAUAUUUUCGUCAGUGUUUCUCUCUCUUCUCGCUCUCUGAAUAUUUUAGAGAGAGAAUACGCUCUUCUUCUCGCCGUCCGGUGGUUAUCCGGCUACAUGUCCGGCGUCUUCCGUUUUUCUCAACGGUGAUGGCCGGCUUUCGUCUAGCACCGACUGGCUUCCUAAGUAGCGGUGGCUAGCUUUUGCCCGGCAUCGACCGGCUAACCUAGCGGCCAUGGCCGGAUUCUGUUUUUGCUUUAAUUUUUCAAUUAUGUUUUUAAUUUGCUAAUAAUCUCAUCGGAUCUACGAUUAGGGAUGUUGAUCUGCCAUAUCCACGGUGGUUCUUCUUUGUCUCUGUCCUUUGAGUUUUACUCCGAUCCGAAUUAGUUUCUUAUCUCUUCAAGAUAAAUUUCGGAUCCUUUUCUUUUGUACUCUGGAUUUACAGAAUGAUUUCAAAGAGAUUUCACUCUUUUGUUGAAGGAAAGAAGAUUUUCUUGUGUCGCUUAUCAUGGUCCCUUAAGCUGUUACUUUAAUUGGAGCUUCGAUGCUUUCAAUUCGGUGCAAAACAUAAGAGUCUUCGUUCGAUUCCUUAUCGGCGAGGAUUUCUUACCGGAAUCGGCGCUCAACGGUGGAGGUUGUUGCCGGAAAAACUUGUGAUUACUCAUCAGGCGUGGGACGUGGUUUAACCGGUUGUCGACACGUUUCCAUGGAUGGAGUUUAGAUUGAAAUUCUUCUACAGAAGUCGGUUAUCUAUUUGGUCUUUGUUGGCUAUUUCUGUAAACCUGCUGUUUGGGCUUUUGUUAAAGCCUAUGUAUGAUAUUGUGAAAGCUUAAUAAAUUCUAUCACUUGUGAGAAAAAAAAAAAGAAUUUUGAAA